AGUGAACGCUGGCGGUAGGCCUAACACAUGCAAGUCGAACGGCAGCACAGUAAGAGCUUGCUCUUACGGGUGGCGAGUGGCGGACGGGUGAGGAAUACAUCGGAAUCUACUUUUUCGUGGGGGAUAACGUAGGGAAACUUACGCUAAUACCGCAUACGACCUACGGGUGAAAGCAGGGGAUCUUCGGACCUUGCGCGAUUGAAUGAGCCGAUGUCGGAUUAGCUAGUUGGCGGGGUAAAGGCCCACCAAGGCGACGAUCCGUAGCUGGUCUGAGAGGAUGAUAGGCCACACUGGACCGGAGCCACGGUCCGGACUCCUACGGAAGGCAGCAGUGGGGAAUAUUGAAAAAUGGGCGAAAGCCUGUCCCACCCAUACCGGGUGGGUGAAGAAGGCUUUCGGGUUGUAAAGCCCUUUUUUUGGAAAGGAAAACAACAAGGUUAAAACCCGGCGGUCUUGACGGACCCAAAGGAUAAGCACCGGCUAACUUCGUG
rnacentral:rRNA from 1 species